rfam:Serratia marcescens FGI94, complete genome.
AGUGAAGUGGAAUCGGACAGGAUGAGAACCGUAAAGUUCGAGUCUCACGACAGUGAGACAACAUCACGCAGUGAUGGCCCGAAGGGCGAGGCGCAAGCCGAGUAAUCCUGCACGACCCACCA